rnacentral:rRNA from 1 species
UUCUUCUAGAAAAUAUUAAAAGUAAGUUCUGCCCAAUGAAUAAUUCAAUGGCCGCGGUAUCCUAACCGUGCAAAGGUAGCAUAAUAACUUGCCCGUUAAUUGCGGGCUAGCAUGAACGAAUAAACGAAAUAAUAUCUCUAUCAACUUAACCUAAAUAAAUUAACCUUCAAGUGAAGAGGCUUGAAUAAAUUUGAGGGACAAGAAGACCCUAUAGAGCUUUACUUAUAGAAACAUGACAAAUGUUAAAAAGUUCGGUUGGGGCGACCUAGGAACAAGUAUCAUCCUAUUCCAAAAAGAUAGCUAUAUCAACAUAAUGACCCUAAACAGAUCAACAAACUAAGCUACCUUAGGGAUAACAGGCUAAUCUUUCUAGAGAGACCUUAUCAAUAGAAAGGUUUGGCACCUCGAUGUUGGCUUAGGGAAUCUAUAUGAUGCAGAAGUCAUAAAAGAAGGUUUGUUCAACCUUUAAUACCCU